GGAGAUUCACGAAUUACAAAUCGUGACUAUACAUCUCGUUUUUCCGUUUCCCGAGAUUCCACUCCUAAUCGUAAAAAAAGAGACGGGAAACCUAAAAUAUUAACCUAAUUAUCUAUCCCUGCCUCUGUCUCUUCGCCUCCCCCACCAUCACCAAAGACAACUAAAAAUGAGAAUUAGGAACCCUAACUCGAUCUCUUCUUUUUUUCCAUCUAAACUCAUCAAAUAAAUCUGAAAAUUUGGAUUCACUAUAACUCUUUCGACCACCGAAAUCUAUAGAGGAAUAUUACUGAUCUAUUGCUGCUACUUCGAUUAUUUCUGCAACAACUUUUUGUUCAACUAGGUCAAAGUUCAGAUGUUCAAAAUGUUUUGAAACCUCCUCUUGGUGCAGUAAAGGAAUUGAAGUUAGCAAUCAAGAAGAAAACAAAUUAAAUCAAAUAAGAAAUCAUCAUAUUUCAUGGCGUGGUUUGAUCUUUAGAUUCUCACAUAAUUUAAGGAGGCAUGUAUGGGGUAACUUUUGCCUUUUGUACCACAAUGAGAAGCUAAUAGACGACAAGUCUAUGCUUCAAGACUUUGGCAUGCGUAUUUCGUAGGUAGAAAUACUGAUAUCUUUGGUCGUGGCAACUUCUUUGGAUUACCGUUAUGGUUUUAUAUGGGAAUUUUAUUGAUUUUUAAGGUUAUUGAUGGUAAAUGCAGAACUUGUAAUUAAGUGCAAACGUAUAAAAUUUCUUGAUGGAUUUGGAUUCUCUCGGUUGCAGUCUCUCAUUACUUAUGGCAUGUAGUUAAGGGAAUUAUGUUGUUCGACUUGGUCACCAUUUGAUUUUCUAUAAUUAUAUGCAGCAUGCAGCAGUUUGGUCUUUA